rnacentral:tRNA from 1 species
GCCUCAGUGGCUCAGCCUGGUAGAGCUACGGUUUUGUAAACCGUCGGUCGUCGGUUCAAAUCCGGCCUGAGGCU